UACGAAGGGGGCUAGCGUUGUUCGGAAUCACUGGGCGUAAAGCGCACGCAGGCGGAUUGAUAAGUCAGGGGUGAAAUCCCGGAGCUCAACUUCGGAAUUGCCUUUGAUACUGUCUGUCUUCGAGUUCGGGAGAGGUUGGCGGAAUUCCUAGUGUAGAGGUGAAAUUCGUAGAUAUUAGGAAGAACACCAGUGGCGAAGGCGGCUCACUGGCCCGGUACUGACGCUGAGGCGCGAAAGCGUGGGGAGCAAACAGG
rnacentral:rRNA from 1 species